GCACUGCUGGUGAGUCCCACAACAGGAUGAAACACGCGUCCAGUGC
rfam:Schistosoma haematobium scaffold1324_1, whole genome shotgun sequence.